rnacentral:lncRNA from 1 species
CAAAUCCUCCGGCUGUGUGUGCCCUCCCUGGACUGCCGCUCCAUCCCCGCCUGUCUCGCUCGUGUGUGCGCGUGGCUGGGAGCGCUCCCUAGGUGCAGCCAGGAAUGAGACAGCCGUGGGGCAGGGGACAGCCCAGCCUGGAGGGGUGACACAAGGUGGGGGAUACCCCACACAUCUGCAGGGCUGCGAGUUGCUUUGAGACAGGGCUCUUUUGUGCCUCCACCUUGUCCCUGUCAUGCCAUGCAUGGAAGUUGGGAGCGAUCCCCCCUCCAGAAGCAGGUUUGGAUGGCUUUCUGCAACUGUGAACCAGAGAAGUCUGUAUUCAAAGCCCCAGACGAGUGAAGCUUGACACUUGAGAGAAGGCGAAGUCUUUCGCAAUGAAUCCAUGGCAGCUUCGAUGGAGCCGUGAGCUGGAGCACCUACCUACGGGCCACUCCUUGAUGUGACUGAAAAGAGGCCUUUUCCAGCACUCUGAAAGGAGAGUGGGGCCGUGGAUUUACCUCCUGCGCACCCGGGCCCCCAGAGUACAUGCACUGCGAGGUGCAUUUUUCCCUACCACCAGCAGACAAAGAAGGGAAGAAGCAAAUUAAGUGGUCACCACUGAACUGCUCGUUUAUCAACCAUCUGAAUGGCUGUUUGUUGCUGCAGACCGUAUAGCCAGAGACAGAGGUAAGAGUGUGUGGGCAGACUGGGUCGGUACACCACAGUUCCACUCUGCAGCAGCUGUACAACUGUGGA